UACAGAGGGUGCAAGCGUUAAUCGGAAUUACUGGGCGUAAAGCGUGCGUAGACGGUUAUGUAAGUCAGAUGUGAAAGCCCCGGGCUUAACCUGGGAAUGGCAUUUGAGACUGCAUAGCUAGGGUGCGGAAGAGGGAAGCGGAAGUUUCCGGUGUAGCGGUGAAAUGCGUAGAUAUCGGAAGGAACACCAGUGGCGAAAGCGGCUCCUGGUCCAGCACCGACGUCAGGCACGAAAGCGUGGGGAGCAAACAGGA
rnacentral:rRNA from 1 species